rnacentral:rRNA from 1 species
ACUCCUGCGGGAGGCAGCAGUGGGGAAUUUUGGACAAUGGGCGAAAGCCUGAUCCAGCAAUGCCGCGUGAGUGAAGAAGGCCUUCGGGUUGUAAAGCUCUUUUGUCAGGGAAGAAACGGUGAGAGCUAAUAUCUUUUGCUAAUGACGGUACCUGAAGAAUAAGCACCGGCUAACUACGUGCCAGCAGCCGCGGUAAUACGUAGGGUGCAAGCGUUAAUCGGAAUUACUGGGCGUAAAGCGUGCGCAGGCGGUUUUGUAAGUCUGAUGUGAAAGCCCCGGGCUCAACCUGGGAAUUGCAUUGGAGACUGCAAGGCUAGAAUCUGGCAGAGGGGGGUAGAAUUCCACGUGUAGCAGUGAAAUGCGUAGAUAUGUGGAGGAACACCGAUGGCGAAGGCAGCCCCCUGGGUCAAGAUUGACGCUCAUGCACGAAAGCGUGGGGAGCAAACAGGAUUAGAAACCCGAGUAGUCCC